GACGAACGCUGGCGGCGUGCCUAAUACAUGCAAGUAGAACGCUGAAGGAGGAGCUUGCUUCUCUGGAUGAGUUGCGAACGGUUGAGUAACGCGUAGGUAACCUGCCUGGUAGCGGGGGAUAACUAUUGGAAACGAUAGCUAAUACCGCUUAAUAGCAGUUGUGGAAUGACAACUGUUUAAAAGGUGCAAUUCCACCCCUCCCAGAUGGACCUGAGUUGUAUUAGCUAGUUGGUGGGGUAACGGCUCACCAAGGCGACGAUACAUAGCCGACCUGAGAGGGUGAUCGGCCACACUGGGACUGAGACACGGCCCAGACGCCUACGGGAGGCAGCAGUAGGGAAUCUUCGGCAAUGGACGGAAGUCUGACCGAGCAACGCCGCGUGAGUGAAGAAGGUUUUCGGAUCGUAAAGCUCUGUUGUAAGAGAAGAACGAGUGUGAGAGUGGAAAGUUCACACUGUGACGGUAUCUUACCAGAAAGGGACGGCUAACUACGUG
rnacentral:rRNA from 1 species